rnacentral:rRNA from 1 species
UACGUAGGGUGCGAGCGUUGUCCGGAAUUAUUGGGCGUAAAGGGCUCGUAGGUGGUUUGUCGCGUUGUUCGUGAAAACUCACAGCUUAACUGUGGGCGUGCGGGCGAUACGGGCAGACUUGAGUACUGCAGGGGAGACUGGAAUUCCUGGUGUAGCGGUGGAAUGCGCAGAUAUCAGGAGGAACACCGGUGGCGAAGGCGGGUCUCUGGGCAGUAACUGACGCUGAGGAGCGAAAGCGUGGGGAGCGAACAGG